ensembl:lncRNA
CCGGCUAGCAAAGCCUGUGUACUGGUGUACAGUGUAGAGGCUGUGGGGAAAACUCUCUUAUUUUCCUUUCUGUCGUUUUUCCCCUUAUUCCACCCUUGCCCCUUGUUUUGUUACUUCUUUCAUUGACAGCAGUCAAACCGUUAUGACAAUCCACACAGGCACUAAUUUACAUUUACAUUUAUGGCAUUUGGCAGACGCCCUUAUCCAGAGCACAACAAACUCCAGGCUAAACUACAAUAUUCUAGACUAGCACAACAAACUCCAGGCUAGCAGAACACACUCCAGGCUAAUUUACAACAUUCCAGGCUAGCACAACACACUCCAGGCUAAACUACAACAUUCCAGGCUAGCACAACGCACUCCAGGCUAAACUACAACAUUCCAGGCUAGCACAACACACUCCAGGCUAAACUACAACAUUCCAGGCUAGCACAACGCACUCUCACAGCUAACACACGAGACCAAAAAAUAUCCCACUGUGCAAGCGCACAUAAAACCCUCCAAAAUACACUAAAGCAGUCCAAGUUUAUAUAAAGACUUCCAGCUAACCUACAACAAUCUUAAACCUGAAUCUAAACAAAACUAAAAGUGAAACCCCACACACACACACACACUUCACCACAAUCCUUAAUCCUCCGAACGGCAUUUCACUGCACAUGCACGUACGGUUUACAUUUAGAACACACCGACAUCAGAAAGGCUUUCUUUUCACUGACGUACUCAGAUCGUGUGUCUACACGUCGUAGAAUAACCAGCUCUAUUACUCCAGCCGCUGAAGUGUUUGUGGAGCGGUUUU